rnacentral:sRNA from 1 species
CUUAAUGCCUUUUUCAGUUUGAUUGUCUACAUGGAGAUCAGGGUGAUAAGUUUCAAUAAACAUAUAGACGCCCCCCCCACCCACCCCCAUUAGCUAGAAAAGACCAGGACUGGGUUGCUUUAAAUGAACCAAGCUUGACCAACAAACAAGACAGCCAUUUGUUCACUCAGAUCUAGCCGAGGUAACUCACAAGUGCACGUUGAGAUCCUCCAUGUGUCUGUCAACAGCGAUAGCCAGGAUCUGCGCCCAGCUCAUGCUGCAUUCUAAGAACUCUCAUUUCAUUUGCAUAUAAAAUUCAUUACAGGAAGUAAUUAACUGAAGGAACAGCGUCAUCAAAGGCUCAAGGAUAAUGGAAACCAUCAUCAUGAUUAUCUACUGGGACCUCAUCAGCCAUGAUGAGAUGUUCUCCGACAGCUACAUGAGCCAGGAAAUCGCAGACAGGCUGCGCCUGGAGGUGGAAGGGAAGAUAGUCAGUAGGACACAAGGUAACAUUUUUGACUCACUCAUUGGUGGAAAUGCCUCCACUGAAGGCCCUGAGGGCAAAGGUACUGAAAGCACAGUAAUCACUGGUGUCGAUAUUGUCAUGAAUCAUCACCUGCAAGAAACAAGCUUCACAAAAGAAGCCUACAAUAAGUGCAUCAAAGAUUACAUGAAAUCAAUUAAAGGCAAACUGGAAGAACAGAGACCAAAAAGAGUAAAAUCUUUUAUGACAGGAGCUGCAGAACAGAUCAAGCACAUCCUUGCUAAUUUCAAAAACUACCAGAAAACAUGAAUCCAGAUGGCAUGGUUGCUCUGCGGACUACUGUGAGGAUGGUAUGACCCGAUAUAUGAUUUUCUUUAAGGAUGGUUUAGAAAUGGAAAAAUGUUAACAAAUUUGGCAAUUACUUUGGAUCUAUCACCUGUCAUCAUAACUGGCUUCUGUUUGUCAUCCACACAACACCAGGACUUAAGACAAAUGGGACUGAUAUCAUCUUGAGUUCUUCAUUAUUUUGACUGAUUUAUUUGGAGUGGAGGCAUUGUUUUUAAGAAAAACAUGUCAUGUAGGUUGUCUAAAAGUAAAAUGUAUUUAAACUCAAAAAAAAAAAUACCUGAGACUGGGUAAUUUAGAAAAACAAUAGAUUUCUUUAUCUUGUGAUUCUGUAGGCUGAGAAGUUCAAGGGCAUGGCCCUGGUUUCUGGCAAGGGCUUUUGUGCUGUGUCACAACAUAGUGGAGAAGGUCAAAGAGAAAGUGGACACGUGCAAAGAGGGGAAAACCUGAGUGGCAUCCCGGCUUUAAAAUACCCCACUGUCACAGGAACUAAUCCAUUCCUGAGAGAACUAAUCCAGUCUUGUGAGACUGAGAAUUCACUCACUCCUGCAAGACUGCCACCAAGCCAUUCAUGAAGGAUCCACCCCCAUGACCCAGACACCUCCCACUAGGACCCAGCUUCCAACAUUUGGGGAUCAAAUUUCAACAUGAGUUUGGAUGGAGACAAAUAAACCACAUCCAAACCAUAGCACAGGGACUGCUAAAUACCCCAACAACAGAAAUAGAAAGCUUCCCUAAACACCUUCCUUAACUGAGACCUCGCUGUCUCCUGAGAACCGCACUUCGCCUGUAGCCCUCUCCUAAGAGAUUCUUUCCCUCCCCCAAAUACUUCUGCAUCUGGAGGUGGAGCGGGCCCCUUCUUUGCUCCCCACUGCACCUUCCAGACCAUGACCGGCUGUACCUCUCAGGCACUUCCCUCCAUUCUAUCCUUUUGCCCACCCCCUAGUCUUGCCCAAAUCCAAAUCACUUCAACAUUCAUGUGAAAGAUCUAUCCCACUUCCCACGCUUCUUGUUUCUUCAGCCUACUCACCUCUGUUGCCCUCCCUUUCUGCUCCAGUCACCCACUCUCAGGGCCGCGAGUGGAUCUUGCGAUGGCCCAGAACUGCUGUACCACUGAAAUCUUAACUUCAAUCCCCACAACCUCACAUCUUUCUAACUUUCCCAUCUGAUUACUUCAUUACACUGUUCAGCUUUGUUGAGACUUGUAUGAGCUCAUCACAAAAGAAGAAAUCCCAAUGUCCAAUAAACAUGGAAAGGUGCUUAACCUCAUCUACUGUCAGGGAAAUGAGGAAUGAGGGAGAAUGGGGCAUGAGGAAGGAGCAUGAGAAAACUUUUUGAGGUAAUAGAUAUGUGCAUUAUCUUGAUCGUGGCUCUGGUUUCAAGGAUGUUUACUAAUCAAAUCAUCACUUAAAACAUGUGCAGUUUGUUGUACAUCAAUUAUAUAUCAAUAAAGUUGUAAAAUAUACA